AGGAGAAGAGGCAGGCAGAACAGAUGUGGACACUAUCCGUGAAGAAAGAAGCUACGUUCCCUGAGGCGGAAGGAGCUUCCUUGGAGCAAGGGCAGAGUGCGCAGGCCGUGGAGCGUGCCCAGGAUGCCCUCUCCGGUGGAGCAGGCAGGGAAGAGAUGCCGUUGAGCCAUCGUCUUCUCAGAGGUGUGGAAACGGCUGCC